GGUUCAGGACGAACGCUGGCGGCGUGCUUCAUACAUGCAAGUCGAACGAUAAGGCACCUUCGGGUGUACAUAAGUGGCGGACGGGUGAGUAAUAUGUAGAGAAUCUGCCCUAGAGAGUGGGACAACAGUUGGAAACGACUGCUAAUACCGCAUAUGAGCGUACCUGAAAUGGUAUUCUUGAAAACUCCGGUGCUCUGGGAUGAGUCUGCAUCUGAUUAGCUAGUUGGGGGUGUAAUGGACCACCAAGGCGACGAUCAGUAGCUGGUUUGAGAGGAUGAUCAGCCACAAUGGGACUGAGACACGGCCCAUACUCCUACGGGAGGCAGCAGUAGGGAAUUUUGCGCAAUGGGGGAAACCCUGACGCCAGCAACGCCGCGUGACCGAUGAAGCCCUUCGGGGUGUAAAGGUCUGUCAGUGGGGACGAAUAUUGACGGUACCCACAGAGGAAGCAUCGGCUAACUCCGUGCCAGCCGCUGC
rnacentral:rRNA from 1 species